UUGCAUCUCCCAAUAAAAAGGCUUCAGACUGAGCCUGGUCCCGAAGCUGCUUCGGGGAGCCAAGGAGCAGCGAGGCUGCAGCCAGAUGCUGUCUGCAGCCAAGGCCCUGAGCAAUCCCUGAGCGCUGGCGACAAGCGGGGCAGCCAGCAGCCCCCCGAGGGUGCCGACCAGAGCCGCCAGCCACCUUUCUCCUGGAGCAGCUCAUAUUGUGGCUGGUUUGAGACGGGGCUGUGGUUAUGGCUGUUUGCUGCAUGGGGCCAUCGGCCUCGUCCGGGGGAGCCCCGAGACAUCGGUGCUGUGUUGUACCGAAAAACAGAGCCGAGGUUUUGUGGUGGCUGCUGGAGGAACUAUUUCAGGCUCUGCCUCCCCGUUCUGCUCUGUUUCACCCUAGCUCCUUUCCUCUCCUUGCUCUGUGCUUUCCUCACGCUGCGGGGUUUUUCCAGCCCUGCGCCCCCCUGGCACCCACCGGGGCAUCUCCCGACCCCUCGGCGAAGCACGAACUGGAGUCACUCCGAAUCAGGAGGGGAUCACUUCUGCCCCUUUUCCUGCCGAACUCCAGAAGCUGCCGCUGAUUUCAGCCAGACACCGGCGGGCGAGCGCGAAGGCAGAGGGACGGGAGGAGGCGCGUGGUGCCACACAUCAGCAGAGGCAGCUGCCGGAGGUGACCUUUUAAAUUGCUCCCAUAAAACCUGUUCAAGUGCCCCUGUCAGAGCCUUCAGACUUUUUAUAUGCUUUGCUAAGACCUUUUAUUUAAUGCUGUUAUGCUAAGGAAGCGGUAGGGCCCUUUGCUGUGUGCAGGAGGACUACGGAUGACAGUGUGUGAGCAGGGGAGCCUGUGAGCGCUCCAGCACCAUGACCCCCGCGUGCCCCAUCCCCGCCUGCCCACAGGGAUACUGUAGCCUGGUCACCACCCAGGAGGAGCUCUGCCCUCUCUGUUGCUCACCUAGCACCAUCAGCACAGUCCCAGCUGCUCCCACCACACCAUCUCUCUUCUGAG
rnacentral:lncRNA from 1 species